CGGGACCCCGCACAAGCGGUGGAUCAUGUUGUUUAAUUCGAUGAUACGCGAAGAACCUUACCAGGUCUUGACAUCCCAUGCAAAGCUAUAGAGAUAUAGUGGAGGUUAUCAAGGAGACAGGUGGUGCAUGGUUGUCGUCAGCUCGUGUCGUGAGAUGUUGGGUUAAGUCCCGCAGCGAGCGCAACCCUUAUUGCUAGUUACCAUCAUUAAGUUGGGGACUCUAGCGAGACUGCCAGUGAUAAACUGGAGAAGUGGGGAUGACGUCAAAUCAUCAUGCCCCUUAUGACCUGGGCUACAAACGUGAUACAAUGGCUGAAACAAAGGGCAGCGAAGCAGUGAUGUGGAGCGAAACCCAAAAAAGCAGUCUCAGUUCGGAUUGAAGUCUGCAACUCGACUUCAUGAAGUUGGAAUCGCUAGUAAUCGUAGAUCAGAACGCUACGGUGAAUACGUUCUCGGGGUUU
rnacentral:rRNA from 1 species